UUCUCUUAAAACGUUUAAGACAUCGCACUAAAAGUUUGAUUCAUCUAGGUGACAAAGGCUAUGCCCUGAACGAGUACCUAAUAACUCCUCUGGCUCAUCCGAACACGGAUCAGGAGCGCAACUUCAACAGCGCUCACACGCGCACACGGGCAACAGUGGAGCGAUGUAUAGGCCUACUCAAGGGCAGGUGGAUGUCCAUCCGGUCAGCGGGGGGAACGUUGCUCUACAGCCCAGAAAAGACAUGCAAUAUUAUUUUAGCAUGUUGGGUUCUGCAUAAUAUUGCGCUGGCAAAUGGGGUGCCAUUCGCCGACCUGCAGCCAGAUGACCCGAUGCCCAGAGAUCCCUGGCCACAGGCGCCACAUGCUCGAGCUCUACGACGAAGGGAGGAUUUAAUUCGGCUCUUCUAAUAUCUAAGGGACCUCUGCAGUCAAGACCGAUGAAGGCAGACCAGCAAUUCGGCCAGACACGCGUUCCGGCUGCUUCGGCGGCGGCGGCCCUUCCGUUUCUUCAACUGGGCUUGGCUCUGUUCCCAUUUUGGAUGAACCUGCUUGCAUUUCAUCUUUAAAAAUAAAAAGCAAUCGUGAGA